rnacentral:misc_RNA from 1 species
GAAAUGCGAUAAGUAAUGUGAAUUGCAGAAUUCAGUGAAUCAUCGAAUCUUUGAACGCACCUUGCGCUCCUUGGUAUUCCUUGGAGCAUGCCUGUUUGAGUAUCAUGAAAUCUUCAAAGUAAAUCUUUUGUUAACUCAGUUGGUUUCUACUUUGGUAUUGGAGGUCUUUGCAGCUUCACACCUGCUCCUCUUUGUUCAUUAGCUGGAUCUCAGUGUUAUGCUUGGUUCCACUCGGCGUGAUAAGUUAUCUAUCGCUGAGGACACUGUAAAAGGUGGCCAAGGUAAAUGCAGAUGAACCGCUUCUAAUAGUCCAUUGACUUGGACAAUACUUUUAUGAUCUGAUCUCAAAUCAGGUAGGACUACCCGCUGAACUUAAGC